GCGAAGGAGUUGGGAGCUCCCAGUGUCUGCGCUGCUGAACUCCUUGACAGCCCCAAUUCUCGUCCGCCCAUGUCCCAGACGAGUUUUCCUGUCUAGCUUGGACAUUCCAUCGCCAAGCCCAUAUUCCUCACCAAUCUGUGCUGUCACAUUCCUCGACAGCCCCAGUUCUCGCCAGCCUAU